UUGAGUCUCCUGAAGGAACGUUAAAGACGAUGACGUUGAUAGGCCGGGUGUGUAAGCGCAGCGAUGCGUUGAGCUAACCGGUACUAAUGAACCGUGAGGCUUAACCUUACAACGCCGAAG
rnacentral:rRNA from 4 species